rnacentral:rRNA from 3 species
AGUAACUGCGAGUGAAGCGGGAAGAGCUCAAAUUUGUAAUCUGACGGUCUCCGGCCGUUCGAGUUGUAAUCUGUAGAGGUGUCGUCCGCGUCGGACCAUGUACAAGUCUCCUGGAAUGGAGUGUCAUAGAGGGUGAGAGUCCCGUGCAUGACAUGGACCACCGAUGCUUUGUGAGGCACCUUCGAAGAGUCGCGUUGUUUGGGAAUGCAGCGCAAAAUGGGUGGUAAAUUCCAUCUAAGGCUAAACAUUGGCGAGAGACCGAUAGCGAACAAGUACCGUGAGGGAAAGAUGAAAAGCACUUUGAAAAGAGAGUUAAACAGUACGUGAAAUUGUUGAAAGGGAAACGCUUGGAGUCAGUCGUAUCUUGAGGCACUCAGCCUUGCCUCGGCUUGGUGUACUUGCCUUAGGAUGGGUCAACAUCAAUUUUGGCUGGUGGAAAAGGGUGAGGAGAAUGUAGCGUGGCUUCGGCGACGUGUUAUAGCCUCUCAUCAAAUACAUCAGCUGGGAUUGAGGACUGCAGCACGCCCUUGUGGCCAGGGCUUUUCGCUCUUGUAACGUGCUUAGGAUGUUGGCAUAAUGGCUCUAAGCGACCCGUCUUGAAACACGGACCAAGGAGUCUAACGUGCUUGCGAGUGUUUGGGUGAAAAACCCUUGCGCGUAAUGAAAGUGAAAGUUGAGAGCCUCUGUGAGGAGGUGCAUCGACGCCCGGCCCUGACGUUCUCUGAUGGUGCCGUGGUAGAGCAAGUAUGUUGGGACCCGAAAGAUGGUGAACUAUGCCUGAAUAGGGUGAAGCCAGAGGAAACUCUGGUGGAGGCUCGUAGCGAUUCUGACGUGCAAAUCGAUCGUCAAAUUUGGG